CUCAAUUAUGUCUAAAGUAGAUAACAAAUGACCUCAGUAAAUACAUAUAUGAGGUGCUAGCUGGAAUAUGGAUGUUGAAGAAUUAUAAAGAACAACACCACAAUAAACAAGUUGUUUAGCCUGGAAAAGUGAUGACAGAGGACUUGGUAGAAAUAAAGCAUGACAAAGAAGCUAAGCAGGACACUGAGAUUUAACUGAAUUUAAGGUACUUGCAUGGACUUACUUCCACAUGGGAGUAGAAUCAGAAGACAACCAUGCUUUGCCAUGAUAUCUGAAGAAAUUACCACUAACUCUGCCCAGCUCCUCUCUGCCACCUUUUUACUGGAGACUGCUGCUCAUUCAGAUCUGGUGGAGAGGGAUGGGAACUUUCCCACACCUGAGUGAUCUGAAUCCUACAAGGAAAACCGUCCACAGAAGGUGGCUCUUCUCUGACUUGACCUUCAGUGACUGCCUGGGGCCACUCCAGGAGGCUGCUCAGGGCUCUCCGGUCAGGCUCCUGCUGUGAGAUGUCCCUGGAAGAAUCCUUUCCCUUAGUUACAGAAGGAGGCUCAGGAAAUUAGAUCCUCACAGCUAAGCACAGACUUUGUCAACAACCUUCCUAAUUUCUUAGAUUUUUAUCCUAGCUACUGGUUGUGUCUUACUGUUCAGUGUAUUCAAACACACUCAUGCAUCUCCCUGCACUUUCAGAGAUGCAGAUAUGUCUCAAGAGCUGCAAUGUAUUGCACAUGUAGAAAAAUAAGCACUCUUUCCUUCGGAGACCUGUUGUAGACAGACACUUAAUUCAGCAUAUUGAGAGACACCACAACAGGCUACAAACAUCCUUUUGAUAUCCAUCUGAACCGUUUCUAGCACAGCACUUUUUUGCCUUCUAUUUCUUCCUAAUAGACUACAAUUGCAGAGCAGAUGGGAAUAGGAAGGUCUGUAACUUGACUCCCAGUCACACCUUGCUCAGGAAAGGAAAUAAGCAUGCCACAAUUACUGACUGACUUCUUUUUCCUGUAGUCCUUGAACUUUAAUGAACUAGAGAGAAGAGUAUGGAAAGAGUCAGGAAAAUAAGGUCAUCUGCCCAACCGAUCAUAUGCACUCUUUUGCUUUCUUCCAAUUUUUAUUUUGGUAUUUGAAGGAAAUGUUUCCAUCGGUACAAAAUGGCAAUAAGCCGUUCGAACAAUGACUAAUCAGAAAUGCAGUGUAAUGCAUCUGAAAUAAAU
rnacentral:lncRNA from 1 species